GAUGAACGCUGGCGGCGUGCCUAAUACAUGCAAGUCGAGCGAACGGACGAGAAGCUUGCUUCUCUGAUGUUAGCGGCGGGCGGGUGAGUAACACGUGGAUAACCUACCUAUAAGACUGGGAUAACUUCGGGACACCGGAGCUAAUACCGGAGGAUAUUUUGAACCGCAGGGUUCAAAAGUGAAAGACGGUCUUGCUGUCACUUAUAGAUGGAUCCGCGCUGCAUUAGCUAGUUGGUAAGGUAAAGGCUUACCAAGGCAACGAUGCAUAGCCGACCUGAGAGGGUGAUCGGCCACUCUGGAACUGAGACACGGUCCAGACGCCUGCGGGAGGCAGCAGUAGGGAAUCUGCCGCAAUGGGCGAAAGCCUGACGGAGCGACGCCGCGUGAGUGGUGACGGUCUUCGGAUCGUAAAACUCUGUUAUUGGUGAAGAACAUAUGUGUAAUUAACUGUGCACAGCUUGACGGUACCUAAUCAGAAAGCCCCGGCUAACUACGUG
rnacentral:rRNA from 1 species